rnacentral:sRNA from 12 species
UCUUUGAAAAGGGAAUAUUUAGAACCAGAUGAAAAACAGUGUGUCGACCACACUGGCUGGAAUAUAACUCAAGGGAUAGAAUUCCGAUCAGCAGAGAUGCGAACAGGUGAAAUCCUUAGCUAGUUAGGUAACUAACCCGCUCGGAGCUACUCAGUGGCAAGGGAGUUAUAGGUGCAGCUAUAUCAGUGUCAAAAAUAAUGCUAAACUGUUCGGGGCAAAUCGGGAGACCAACAUGGGCGUACCCACAUAUCCCACUACUGGAGACAGUGGUAAGGGCAAUGAGUGAAGAUCGCUAAAGCCUUUGCGUAAUUGAAGCAUCGCAAGAUGUGUAUAAGAACAGACGGCAGUCCAAGUAGCCUAAAUUUACGCUUCUAUUAACAAUUAUGAUUGCGUUUAGUGCGAAAAAAGCAAUUUACUGUACACAAAAGGUGUAAAUGUCUAUCGCAGGUGAAAGGUGCAACGAAAGAUGUUGUCAGGGCAAGUCGGAAGCCUAUGGCUUUGGCUAAACGUGGAGGUGCAGGCAUGCACCAAGGGCGGUUAGUCCCCUGUGUGUGAAUAUUGGCUGGGAUAUGGUGUGUAUAAGGAGGACUUACUAAAUAUUCUUUUUUCAAA